rnacentral:rRNA from 1 species
UACGGGGGAUGCAAGCGUUAUUCGGAAUUAUUGGGCGUAAAGGGCGCGUAGGCGGUUUUGUCGGUCAGAUGUGAAAGCCCAGGGCUCAACCCUGGACGUGCAUUUGAAACAGCAAGACUUGAGUACGGGAGAGGAAAGCGGAAUUCCUGGUGUAGAGGUGAAAUUCGUAGAUAUCAGGAGGAACACCGAUGGCGAAGGCAGCUUUCUGGACCGAUACUGACGCUGAGGCGCGAAGGCGUGGGUAGCGAACAGG